UACGUAGGGGGCUAGCGUUAUCCGGAAUUACUGGGCGUAAAGGGUGCGUAGGUGGUUUCUUAAGUCAGAGGUGAAAGGCUACGGCUCAACCGUAGUAAGCCUUUGAAACUGGGAAACUUGAGUGCAGGAGAGGAGAGUGGAAUUCCUAGUGUAGCGGUGAAAUGCGUAGAUAUUAGGAGGAACACCAGUUGCGAAGGCGGCUCUCUGGACUGUAACUGACACUGAGGCACGAAAGCGUGGGGAGCAAACAGGAUUAGAUACCCUGGUAGUCCCUGA
rnacentral:rRNA from 1 species